rnacentral:tRNA from 1 species
UGGGGUUUUGGCUCAGUGGUAGAGUGCUCGCCUAGCAUGUGUGAGGCUCUGGGUUCGAUCCUCAGCACCACAU